UACGGAGGGGCUAGCGUUGUUCGGAAUUACUGGGCGUAAAGCGCGCGUAGGCGGCUUUGUAAGUUAGAGGUGAAAGCCCGGAGCUCAACUCCGGAAUUGCCUUUAAGACUGCAUCGCUAGAAUCAUGGAGAGGUGAGUGGAAUUCCGAGUGUAGAGGUGAAAUUCGUAGAUAUUCGGAAGAACACCAGUGGCGAAGGCGACUCACUGGACAUGUAUGACGCUGAGGUGCGAAAGCGUGGGAGCAACAGGG
rnacentral:rRNA from 1 species